CGGUCGAAUAGUUUUCGAGAAAUCUCGUGCACAAAAUUUGUGGAAAAAAAUAAUAAUAACUAGAUACGAUCUCGUUACGAGUAACGAGUAGGUCUUCCGUUCAAUUUUUAAACGAUACGAUUAAAAUAUCAAUGAAAUUUCAGAAUUCCACCUAAAACACUCCCUUUCAGAUAAUGAAAACGAUUGUCAAUAUCCUUUAUAAUGCGUAACAAAGUGUUUUGCUUUUUCACAUUUUGCAUAUUAAAGAUUUAAGAGUUAAGUCCCCUAAAAUCCCAAAUUACGUCAUCAAUGGGUGUGGCAAUGAGUUUUACAAACUGAUAUUGUUAUGAUCAAAAACUUUGUUUCUGUAAUGCAUUACAAAAUCUUGAUUGUUUUUAAAGUAUGUGAAAAAGACUUUACGAGUGGCUUAGCCCCUAAUGUAAGGGGUCAUCCCCUUUUUCCUGAGUUCAUUCAAAAGGUCUCACAAAUACUAACAAUAAUCCUUAAUGGGGACAGACAUUGGUAUUUUGAUUGAUGGAAUCGAUGAGAAUCAUCAAUGCAAGCAUUUUCCCUUCCACUAUGCUUAACAAAAUAUGUCUCCUUCUCUAGAUAUAUUGCAUCAACGGUUAAGUACUUUGGCCCCUAAAAAUUCCUAAUUACGUAAUAAAUGGGCGUGGCAAUGAUUUUUUCUAAUAGAUAUUGGUACGGUCAACAACUUUGCUUCUAUAAUGCAUUACAAAAUCUUUAUCAUUUUUAAGUUAUUUGUAAUAGAGUUUACGAGUGUCUUGGCCCCUAAUUGAGGGGCCAGCCCCUUUUUCUUAAAUUCAAU